rnacentral:rRNA from 1 species
UGGCUCAUUAAAUCAGUUAUCGUUUAUUUGAUAGUACCUUGCUACAUGGAUACCUGUGGUAAUUCUAGAGCUAAUACAUGCUAAAAACCCCGACUUCAGGAAGGGGUGUAUUUAUUAGAUAAAAAACCAACGCCCUUCGGGGCUCCUUGGUGAAUCAUAAUAACUUAACGAAUCGCAUGGCCUUGCGCCGGCGAUGGUUCAUUCAAAUUUCUGCCCUAUCAACUUUCGAUGGUAGGAUAGUGGCCUACCAUGGUGGCAACGGGUAACGGGGAAUUAGGGUUCGAUUCCGGAGAGGGAGCCUGAGAAACGGCUACCACAUCCAAGGAAGGCAGCAGGCGCGCAAAUUACCCAAUCCCGAUACGGGGAGGUAGUGACAAUAAAUACUGAUACGGGGCUCUUUUGGGUCUCGUAAUUGGAAUGAGAACAAUUUAAAUCCCUUAACGAGGAACAAUUGGAGGGCAAGUCUGGUGCCAGCAGCCGCGGUAAUUCCAGCUCCAAUAGCGUAUAUUAAAGUUGUUGCAGUUAAAAAGCUCGUAGUUGAACCUUGGCCCUGGCUGGCCGGUCCGCCUCACCGCGAGUACUGGUCCGGCUGGGGCUUUCCUUCUGGGGAACCUCAUGGCCUUCACUGGCUGUGGGGGGAACCAGGACUUUUACUGUGAAAAAAUUAGAGUGUUCAAAGCAGGCCUUUGCUCGAAUACAUUAGCAUGGAAUAAUAGAAUAGGACGUGCGGUUCUAUUUUGUUGGUUUCUAGGACCGCCGUAAUGAUUAAUAGGGAUAGUCGGGGGCGUCAGUAUUCAGCUGUCAGAGGUGAAAUUCUUGGAUUUGCUGAAGACUAACUACUGCGAAAGCAUUCGCCAAGGAUGUUUUCAUUAAUCAGGGAACGAAAGUUAGGGGAUCGAAGACGAUCAGAUACCGUCGUAGUCUUAACCAUAAACUAUGCCGACUAGGGAUCGGACGGGAUUCUAUGAUGACCCGUUCGGCACCU